rnacentral:rRNA from 1 species
UACGGAGGAUGCGAGCGUUAUCCGGAUUUAUUGGGUUUAAAGGGUGCGUAGGCGGUUGUAUAAGUCAGCGGUGAAAUUUUCCGGCUUAACCGGGAGACUGCCGUUGAUACUGUAUAGCUUGAAUACGGUUGCUGUGAGUGGAAUGUGUGGUGUAGCGGUGAAAUGCAUAGAUAUCACACAGAAUAUCGAUUGCGAAGGCAGCUCACAAAGCCGUUAUUGACGCUGAUGCACGAAAGUGUGGGGAUCAAACAGG